rnacentral:lncRNA from 1 species
UCUGGGCUUGGAAUUGGAGGUAAAUGUGUAUGUUUGGGGGUCAUCGGGCUGUGGUCAGUGGUGGCUGCCAUAGGCCACUCCUGCAUGGCAUCCAACUCCCAGGUGACCCCUGCCCAAAUGAGACCCUCAGAGACUCUUCACCUUUUACACCGUUCAGAACCACGGAGGGGUCUUGGGUCAUAGGUGGGGCCAGGUUGACAUUUGGGGUCCUUCCUGUCCCCAGGGGGCUGCAGCUUGUUCCUGGAACCAAUGGCUCAUAUGUUGUCUCCCUUUUCUCUCUCUCUCUCUGAAACAGGGUCUCAUUAUGUAGGUCAGGCUGGUCUUGAACUCAUGGCAUCCUCCUGCCUCAACCCCUCCAAGUGCUGGGAUGACAGGCGUGUGCCACCAAGCCUGGCUUCACGGCCCCUUUAAGCCCCUGCUUGCUGGGGCUGGGCAGGGAUGUGCCUGGGGCCAGAGAUAAGCCUUGUCCUGUACACCCAGCCUGGUCCCCACUGAUCUGCAGCCAGCUGGAGCCUCCCCAGCACUUGCUGGGAGGAGGAGUUGGGAGGAUGUCCAGCUGCCUCUGAGGACCUGGCUGGAGCCCCAACAGAGCAGCCGUUUCCUCCUCCACCUCCCUGGCUCUCAACCAGCCUUGAGGAACAAUCACCAGGACCAGCAGCCUGGUGGGAUGGUCCUCGAGAGCCUGGAGGAGGCCGAGACUUGGGGAAGCAGCAGAGUAGGCCACAGGUGGAGAUGGCCCCCACAUCUGUGGAGGAUGAACAGAUGAAGAGAGGGUCUCCCUAGGGAUCCCAGUCUGCCCUUGAACUCACCAUGUAGCCCAGGGUGGCCUUGAACUCACAGUGAUCCUCCUGCCUCAGGCUCUUUCCCAAUGCCGGAAUUAUAGGCAUGUACCACCACACCCAGCUGUUUCCUGUUUUUGUUUCUGCUUUGUACAAGCCCUUCUCUGUCUAUAUAACACCAGCUUUGUUUGCACCGGUUUUGUUUGCGACACUUGUUCCGAUUUAUGGUGUGACGAGGCCACACUUCAAGGGUAAAUGGGAGCCCCGGAUGCUGAAAGGAGGAGACAGGAAGGACUUCCUGGGAGCCUUGGAGGGACAGUGGCCCCACAUGGGCCUAGGUCUCUGGGAGGAAGUACAGAAUCAAAAAUAAAGCCAAUUGGGCUGGGGAUUUAGCUCAGUGGUUCCACUGCCUGCCUUGCAAUCGAAAGGUCCCGAGUUGGACCCCCAGUACCAAAACAAAAAAGCCAAUUAAGAUCUUAAAUUACAAUGCUGUAAAUUCAUUUUGAGGGGCAGGGGUAUGUGCUGGGGAUGGAACCCAGGGCUUCAAACCCAUUAGGCAACCACUCACCACUGAGCUACACCCCAGCACUUUAAACAUUUUCAAAAAUUUUGAAGCCAGGUGUGGUGGUGCACACCUGCAAUCUCAGCA